rnacentral:rRNA from 1 species
UUUCUGCCCUAUUAUGUUUCGAUGGUAGGAUAUAGGCCUACAAUUCAAUUGAUGGGUAACGGGGAAUUGGGGUUUGAUACCGGAGAGGGAGCUCGAGAAACGGCUACCACUUCCAAGGAAGGCAGCAGGCGCGCAAAUUACCCACUGGCGACACGCCGAGGUAGUGACAACAAAUAAGUAUGCAGGUCCCACAGGGAUUUGCAAUACGAAUGAGUACAAAUUAAACCCCUUAACGAAAGCCACUGGAGGGCAAGUCUGGUGCCAGCAGCCGCGGUAAUUCCAGCUCCAGUAGCGUAUAUUAAAGCUGUUGCGGUUAAAAAGCUCGUAGUCGGAUUUAAGGAUAAUUUUUUGGAAUGUUGGUCAAAAUUGUUUUGUACUGAUUUCCUUUUAUCCUUUUAUAACCUUUUCUGAAUACUCGUUUCUGCUCUUCAUUGAGUGGGAAUAACAAAAAGUUUGAGAAUUAAAGGAAACUUUAUUCCUUUUCUUUUGAGUUUCAGAUUUUUUACUUUGAAAAAACCAGAGUGUUCAAAGCAGGCGUUUUUAAUGUCUUGAAUACAUUAGCAUGGGAUAAUACUAUGGGACUCUUGACUCAUAUUUAUUGGUUUCAGAUUUAAGAGUAACGAUCAAUAGGGACAGUUGGGGUGAUUCUUAUUUCUUCAAUAGAGGUGAAAUUCUGUGACUGAAGAAGAAGAACUAGUGCGAAAGCAUUUCACAAGGAUGUUUUCAUUGAUCAAGAACGAAAGUUGAGGGAUCGAAGGCGAUCAGAUACCGCCCUAGUCUCAACCAUAAACUAUGCCGACCAGGGAUUGAAAGACGUUAAAAAUUUAAUAAAGACUCCUUCACCACCUUGUGAGAAGUCACAAGUCUUUGGGCUUCGGGGGGAGUAUGGUCGCAAGGCUGAAACUUAAAGGAAUUGACGGAAGGGCACCACCAGGAGUGGAGCCUGCGGCUUAAUUCGACCCAACACGGGAAAACUCACCAGGUCCAGACAAUAGAAGGAUGUACAGACUUGCAGAUCUUUAUAGAUUUAUUGGGUGGUGGUGCAUGGCCGUUCUUGGCUCGUGCGUUGACUUGUCUGGUUAAUUCCGUUAACGAGCGAGACCUCAGCCUGCUAAAUAGUCAUUCAAGGUGUCAUUCUUAAAAAAGUUGUUGGGUUUUUUUGGGGAUUUUAUUUUCAAAAUUUCUAAUAAUUUUUUUUAAGGACUACCUUUGAAUAUGGACUUCUUAGAGGGACCAUUCGUUUUUAGCGAAGGGAAGUUUGAGGCAAUAACAGGUCUGUGAUGCCCUUCGAUGUCCUGGGCUGCACGCGCGCUACACUGAUGGAUUCAACGAGUUUUAAUUUUAAACCUUGGCUGAAGAGUCUGGGAAAUCUUAUUAAAAUCCAUCGUGAUGGGGAUAGAUCAUUGAAAUUAUUGGUCUUCAACGAGGAAUUCCUAGUAAAUGCGAGUCAUCAACUCGCGUUGAUUACGUCCCUGCCCUUUGUACACACCGCCCGUCGCUCCUACCGAUUGGAUGAUCAGGUGAACA